UUUUUCAAUUCUCGACCUUUUAACGUAUAUAAUCUUCAACCGGUUAGUGCCAAAUAGUUUAAGUGAUCUCAUGUCAGUGAGCAGUGUGAUCGAAGACUGGGUCAGAUUUAUCCCAGUCAAGUGUUUCUAUAAUUUUCUUUCAUAGUUUACAUUUCUGCUACAAGGUUAUGGCAUGCAGGAAGUAUGAGGAUUGUGAUAAAUUAAUUAUUACAUGACAACAUGUUCUCACAAUCUUUUAAGAAAUAAUGUAGGAGACUUUAUUUUGAAAGGAUAUUUUAGUUUGGUUGUAUCAACUAAAUAAAGAAUAAGAAGUAAUUUAACUAAUUGACAUUGGGAAUAAUAAAUUUGCUUUCAUGUGGAGAAACUAAAUUAGUUUAUGCAUAGGUGUUCACUAUGUCUCUUUUCCUCCUUAUCUAUGUAUAUGUCUGUUUUUUUUGCUUUCGGAUGACAUGUGGACUGAAAUAUUCAUAAAUGCAUGGACGAUUUAGCCCCACCGUCCAUUCUUUCUCAAAUUUUAUGUCAUUAAUUCCUUAUUAUUUUCCUUCUUUCCGUCACGAUCUGUUCUCAUUUGUUUUUUCCGUGGUGUUGUCCUUUCACGAUGUCUUUGUCGUUCUGUUGGUACAUGUUUCACAUCUUAAUUUUCUUGCUGAUUCUGUUUGAGUUUUAUUUGUAGGUGCAUUCAUUUAUUAUCCUCGCAUUGCCUUAUUCUUUUGACUUGCUCUUCAUGUCGCUGGUGGUGUUGCAGUUUCAAUAGCUCCAAGGGCAGCUGGAUUAGCAAGGUCUAAGGAACAAAUGUGAAGAUUUUGCCAGUUAAGGAUGUAUCACACUAAGGUUAUUAGCAGAAAGUUCUCCGUGAAUUGCACGCAUAUGGGAAUAUAGGGAUCAAGAUGCGGCAAAACUCAUCAGAGUUGGACUGCUGUUGUUGACCUAAGGUUCUUCUACCUCAUGGACUUCACGGUGAGAGAUUCGUGAUCAACAAAGCCUGUGAGAGCAUGAAACAAAAACUUCUCAGACUUUCACAGCUUCCAUCUCAUUCAGAAUGUUGAUUACCUAGCUUCAUGCUUCAGGGUCUACUUCCAUAUGACAUGUCGCUGCUUGGUCCAGUAAUAUUGUUGCUACCCACAUUUGGUUCAUCAUUUUGUUACCCGCAAACUGGCUGCCAGGUCUUCCAGUAUUCUUAUUGCCAAGAAUCUGUACCUUCCUGGCAUUGUGCCUUUUUCCUACGACAUGGGUGCCCAAGUUGAAUUCAGUUUCUAAGUCAUCUAAGAAGAGGUACAUCUACCACUGCACUGCAUCAUGCCAAAGUUAAACACAUUGGCCACCUGUGCUAAGAAUGUGCUUAGAAUUUAUCAAUUGACAUUCUUCUCUUGCUAUUUAUUGAUUCCAUGUAGUGCAAUUGAAAAAAAAAGAGGAACUAUUCACAUCUGACAGAGAUCCCAGACUCACAAGGUAUACAUGCAGUACAAGAGUUAGUUAAACAAACCAUGCAUUGUCAUAGGACAAAAUCAAGCUUACAACAUAUUCUUGUUAAAAAAAAGCUUACUACAUAUUAUUAUUAGAGUAAAUGCCAGAAGUCAGCCAAUACCGUCAUGUCAAGUUGAACUGUGUGUCCGCAAGAUUCGACAGUACCGACAUCAGUCAUCUCUAUGAUAACUUUGUUAUCUUUUGUCAGCAACUGUAUAGUACUGUUGCCCCACAUGCUACUAUUGGAGAGACAAAUUCCUCCAGUUAUGUAAUAUCUAAGAACCUAUGUGUAAUUAUCUAAGGCACUCUUUACCUGUA